rnacentral:rRNA from 1 species
AGGGAAGACAAUCCCAAUAAAUACUGCUCCUUGACGGUACUCACCAGAAAGCACCGCCUAACUACGUGCCAGCAGCCGCGGUAAUAUUAGGGGCAAGCGUUGUCUGGAAUAUUGGGCGUAAAGCGCGCGCAGGCCGGCCUUUAAGUAUGAUGUGAAAAUCACACGGCUCAACAGUCGAGGGUCACUGGAAACUGGAGGACUUGAGUGCAGAAGAGGAAAGUGGAAUUCUAUGUGUAGCGGUGAAAUGCGUAGAGAUGUGGAGGAACACCAGUGGCGAAGGCGACUUUCUGGUCUGUAACUGACGCUGAGGCGCGAAAGCGUGGGGAGCAAACAGGAUUAGAUACCCUGGUAGUCCACGCCGUAAACGAUGAGUGCUAAGUGUUAGGGGGUGUCCGCCCCUUAGUGCUGCAGCUAACGCAUUAAGCACUCCGCCUGGGGAGUACGGCCGCAAGGCUGAAACUCAAAGGAAUUGACGGGGGCCCGCACAAGCGGUGGAGCAUGUGGUUUAAUUAGAAGCAACGCGAAGAACCUUACCAGGUCUUGACAUCCCGCUGCCCGGUGUAGAGAUACGCCUUUCCUUUCGGGGACAGCGGUGACAGGUGGUGCAUGGUUGUCGUCAGCUCGUGUCGUGAGAUGUUGGGUUAAGUCCCGCAACGAGCGCAACCCUUGAUAUUAGUUGCCAGCAUUCAGUUGGGCACUCUAAGGUGACUGCCGGUGACAAACCGGAGGAAGGUGGGGAUGACGUCAAAUCAUCAUGCCCCUUAUGACCUGGGCUACACACGUGUUACAAUGGACGGUACAAAGGGCUGCAAACCCGCGAGGGGGAGCCAAUCCCAGAAAACCGUUGUCAGUUCGGAUUGCAGGCUGCAACUCGCCUGCAUGAAGCCGGAAUAGCUAGUAAUCGUGGAUCAGCAUGCCACGGUGAAUACGUUCCCGGGCCUUGUACACACCGCCCGUCACACCACGAGAGUUUGUAACACCCGAAGUCGGUGAGGUAACCCCUCGUGGAGCCAGCCGCCGAAGUGACGGAAGG